CACUCCUGCGGGAGGCAGCAGUGGGGAAUAUUGCACAAUGGGCGCAAGCCUGAUGCAGCCAUGCCGCGUGUAUGAAGAAGGCCUUCGGGUUGUAAAGUACUUUCAGCGGGGAGGAAGGCAAUACGGUUAAUAACCGUGUUGAUUGACGUUACCCGCAGAAGAAGCACCGGCUAACUCCGUGCCAGCAGCCGCGGUAAUACGGAGGGUGCAAGCGUUAAUCGGAAUUACUGGGCGUAAAGCGCACGCAGGCGGUCUGUCAAGUCGGAUGUGAAAUCCCCGGGCUCAACCUGGGAACUGCAUUCGAAACUGGCAGGCUUGAGUCUUGUAGAGGGGGGUAGAAUUCCAGGUGUAGCGGUGAAAUGCGUAGAGAUCUGGAGGAAUACCGGUGGCGAAGGCGGCCCCCUGGACAAAGACUGACGCUCAGGUGCGAAAGCGUGGGGAGCAAACAGGAUUAGAAACCCCGGUAGUCC
rnacentral:rRNA from 1 species